rnacentral:rRNA from 1 species
UACGAAGGGGGCUAGCGUUGUUCGGAUUUACUGGGCGUAAAGCGCACGUAGGCGGAUUGUUAAGUCAGGGGUGAAAUCCUGGAGCUCAACUCCAGAACUGCCUUUGAUACUGGUAAUCUUGAGUCCGGAAGAGGUGAGUGGAACUCCUAGUGUAGAGGUGGAAUUCGUAGAUAUUAGGAAGAACACCAGUGGCGAAGGCGGCUCACUGGUCCGGUACUGACACUGAGGAGCGAAAGCGUGGGUAGCAAACAGG